rnacentral:rRNA from 1 species
UACGUAGGGUGCAAGCGUUAAUCGGAAUUACUGGGCGUAAAGCGUGCGCAGGCGGUUGUAUAAGACAGAUGUGAAAUCCCCGGGCUCAACCUGGGAACUGCAUUUGUGACUGUACAGCUGGAGUGCGGCAGAGGGGGAUGGAAUUCCGCGUGUAGCAGUGAAAUGCGUAGAUAUGCGGAGGAACACCGAUGGCGAAGGCAAUCCCCUGGGCCUGCACUGACGCUCAUGCACGAAAGCGUGGGGAGCAAACAGGAUUAGAUACCCUGGUAGUCCACGCCCUAAACGAUGUCAACUGGUUGUUGGGAGGGUUUCUUCUCAGUAACGAAGCUAACGCGUGAAGUUGACCGCCUGGGGAGUACGGCCGCAAGGUUGAA